rnacentral:rRNA from 1 species
UACGUAGGGACCGAGCGUUGUCCGGAUUCAUUGGGCGUAAAGAGCUCGUAGGCGGCUGCUCAAGUCGAAUGUGAAAACUCGAGGCUUAACCUCGAGAUGUCGGCGGAAACCAUCUGGCUAGAGUCCGGAAGAGGAGAGUGGAAUUCCUGGUGUAGCGGUGAAAUGCGCAGAUAUCAGGAAGAACACCCGUGGCGAAGGCGGCUCUCUGGGACGGUACUGACGCUGAGACGCGAAAGCGUGGGGAGCGAACAGG